rnacentral:lncRNA from 1 species
CGGGGGUCCGGAGCCUGUCGCGGCUGCUAAGCGCUCGGCGCCUGGCGCUGGCGCUGGCCAAGGCUUGUUGCAAACAGGAACCCGAGGUGUUCACUUCACUGUUGAAGGAACGAGAGGGCAUCUGCUAAAGUUUCAGAUUCCAUUUCUGCUCAGUAUCCAGUAGUGGAUCAUGAAUUUGAUGCAGUGGUGGUAGGCGCUGGAGGGGCAGGCUUUGCGAGCUGCAUUUGGCCUUUCCGAGGCAGAGUUUGAUACAGCAUGUGUUACCAAGCUGUUUCCUACCAGGUCACACACUGUUGCAGCGCAGCUAGAAAAUUAUGGCAUGCCGUUUAGCAGAACUGAAGAUGGGAAGAUUUAUCAGCGUGCAUUUGGUGGACAGAGCCUCAAGUUUGGAAAGGGCAGGCAGGCCCAUCGGUGCUGCUGUGUGGCUGAUCGGACCGGCCACUCAAUAUUGCACACCUCAUAUGGGAGGUCUCUGAGAUAUGAUACCAGCUGUUUUGUGGAGUAUUUUGCCUUGGAUCUCCUGAUAGAGAACAGGGAGUGCCGUGGUGUCAUUGCACUGUGCAUAGAGGACGGGUCCAUCCAUCACAUAAGAGCAAAGAACACUGUUGUUGCCACAGG